rnacentral:lncRNA from 1 species
CCUGAGGACAAUGGGAGGAAAAUGCUUCACUCUCCAAAAAAUGUUACAGUCAUGAAAGAGAAAGUGAGGAACAUAUUUUAAAGGAAAGAGGUCUAAAGAGACAUGACAGCUAAAUAGCCUGGAUUGGAUCCUGGAUUCUAAAACGUUUUAAGGGCCUUAUUUGGAUGGCUGGCAAGGUUUGAAAAAAGUCUGUACGUAAGCUUAGAUAAUGGUUUAUGGUACUGUUACGACAGUUGUCUACAUGGUGUCUUUUCUAGGACACACUGAAGUUCUUGAGGGUGUCCAGGUCUUCAACAUACUCUCUAACAGUUCAAAUAAAAGAGGCUGUGUGCUGUGUAGACACACAUGUUUAUGUAGAGGCAUCUGGGCUAUGGAGGUCCUUGCUCUUUCCCGUAGAGAAAGCAUGUCUCUGAGCUGGGGCUGGGCUCUGGCCUGGCCAUUCAUUUCUAGUCAGCUCUAAUAUCAGCCAUCUCAAGGGUGGUGGCCAUUUUGUCUGUUUUGAUGCUCUUGCAGGGCUUGGGGGUCUUAAUAUCUGGGAGAGCCAUGCCCCUCACUUUUUCUUCUCCAGAAGUAUCUUUGCUCCUAUGGACUUCUGGGUCUCCACACAAUUUCUGAGCUGAUUGCCUAGGUUUUCAUGAAUACUGAACAGCUCUGUGUUUGGCUGCCCACGCCUUCAGCUGUGUCCUUUGUCUUCCAGCUUUUCAGAUGAGCUGGUAGAUGAAGCGCUGGGGGCCGUGGCUGCAGAACUGCAGGAUGUGUGUGAAGACUAUGCAGAAGCUGUGUUCACUUCAGAGUUCUUAGAGGCCGCUGCGUGAGAGCUGUCCAGGCAGGGCCCUCAGAUCACUGCCAGAGGAACAGCACCACCCGCUGUCAGCCCAUGGGGGAAUCUUGGUCCUUGGCUGCCCACUGAGGGGAAUACCACGGAGGUCACCCUCUCCUUGUCUUAGUAGUGCUUCUGGGAGCUAUAGAAAGGUGGGCUGCAUUUAUUAGUGCCUGAGGAGCAUGAGACAGAAUGGUACAACAUUUUCAAAAUGUAUAAUUUUCCUACUGAAAUGCUGUGUUCAUUCCUCUGACUCAGUUGGAGAUGAAAAUGUUUUGAAAGGUAAUGGACAGACUUCACACCAGGGUUCUAGCCUCUGUUAAACCCAUGGGGGCAGAGGGAUCAGUGCUAACCCAAGUGCAGUUACUAUCUGGUCCCAGCACCUGGCUCCUGUUAGUAAGUGUGCUCCUCACAUUGUCACUGGUGGUGUCUCCACUAGGUGACAAGCUACGUGGAAUGCAGAGUGGUGGUGCCACCCAGCCUCUGCUCAGCAGCAGUGGAAGUGGGGAGCCCAGCACACGGGCACACAGAACACACAGGCUCAAGCACACCUUUCUCGGUGCCUCACUUCCUAGGGAGUUUUACAUUCUCAGUUUCUCAGAGUCAUUUAUUGCUGUUUUGACACAUGCUAGUAUAAGAAGCAUUUCUCUGAAUGCAGAAGUUUGAAGACAGGAGAGGGCAGACCUUCCCCAUGCCAGCUCACUGUCCCAGAGGGCAGAGGCUUCUCUGCACCACAGAGCAUCCCAUCUGGAGGAGGGAGACAAGUAGAUGACUUGAAGACUUCUGGACUCUUCGGAGAACCAAAGAUGCCCAUGUGGGGGUUGGGGAUUUAGCUCAGUGGUAGAGCUAGCAAGCGCAAGGCCCUGGGUUCGGUCCCCAGCUCCG